rnacentral:rRNA from 1 species
AGCGAACGCUGGCGGCAGGCCUAACACAUGCAAGUCGAACGACCCUUUCGGGGUUAGUGGCGGUUGGGUGAGUCACACGUGGGAACGUGCAUUUAGGCACGGAAUAACUCAGGGAAACUUGUGCUAAUACCGAAUGUGUUCUUCGGGGGAAAGAUUAAUCGCCGUUAGAGCGGCCCGCGUCUGUUUAGCUAGUUGGUUGAGGUAAUGGCUCACCAAGGCGACGAUCAGUAGCUGGUCUGAGAGGAUGAGCAGACACAUUGGGACUGAGACACGGCCCAAACUCCUACGGGAGGCAGCAGUGGGGAAUCUUGCGCAAUGGGCGAAAGCCUGACGCAGCCAUGCCUCGUGAAUGAUGAAGGUCGUAGGAUUGUAAAAUUCUUUCACCGGGGACUAUAAUGACGGUACCCGGAGAAGAAGCCCCGGCUAACUUCGUG